AUGAUUGGCCUGAUGGCCUUAUCAAUAUUAAUCCCAACACCUCUGUGAACCGUUUUCGGCCCUCGGGCUGAUCUUUUUGCAAUACAAACACUGUGUAAUGAACGUCUUGUCAUCUUAACAGAACA
rnacentral:misc_RNA from 1 species